AGCUAAAGGAAAAAAGCGAUCGGCGCUUUCUGCAGUUGGUUAAAAAGAACAGAAAGGCGCCUCGUUUUAUCUACUGGAAUCCCAAAUUUUAGGCUGUGUUAUCGACCGAAUUUUUUCACUUUGCAAGCUUUAACAACCAAUAUCCAAGAUGAGCGAUACAGAAGCUGGAGAAUAUAAAUCGAAGACCAAGAGUCCAGUGAAGCAAUCUCGGUCCCGCUCACGAUCAAGAUCUGCGGAUUCUGAUUCUUCAAGAGGUUCCAAGAAAUCAAGAAGUUUAAGACGUUCGUAUUCUCGUUCCAGAUCACGUUCAUACAGGUCACGUUCCCGAUCUGGUUCAAGACGCAGAUAUCGAAGAAACAGUGGAAGUCCAAGAAGGAGGUAUUACAGUAGAUCAAGUAGGUCCAGGAGUUAUUCAAGAGGCCGCCACAGCAGUAAAUCUCCCAUGUCUGGAAGGAAGCGUCAUAUUGGAGACAGAUUGAACCCACCAAGUGGUAAAUGCUUGGGAGUAUUUGGUUUGAGUCUUUACACCAACGACAGUGAUCUCAGAAGUGUAUUUUCAAGAUAUGGAAGAAUAACUGAUAUCAAUGUUGUAAUUGAUCAAAAGACCGGUCGUUCACGAGGGUUCGGAUUUGUUUACUUUGAUAAUGAUGAUGAUGCAGCUGAAGCAAAGGAGCGGGCUAACGGGAUGGAACUUGAUGGAAGAAAUAUUCGUGUUGAUUACUCGAUCACCAAGCGAGCUCACACACCAACACCUGGUGUAUAUGUUGGGAGACCAUAUGCCAAGCCAAGAGAUGGUGAUAGAUACGAAUCAAGAGAUCGAUAUGAUCGUGGUGGUGACCGACAUGAUAGAUAUUAUGAACGUGACCGUUAUGAUAGAGGAAGAUAUGAAAGCAGAGACAGAUACAGAGAUGAUUACCGGGAUAGAAGAGACAGUUACAGACGAAGCCCUUCACCUGGAUACAGACGCAGAUCUCCUUCUCCUUACUAUAGAGAUAGAUCCCCACGUGACCGUUACUACUAAAUCGCAUUGUAUUGGCACAGUGGGGACUUGACCCUGAACACCAGUGACUUGUUACAUUGAAAGAAUCUUUUUGAAGAUUGAAAAUACGAAAAUUGGAAAUUUUGAAAACGAAAACCUAGAAAAUUUAAGAUUGAAGAAUGAAUUCUGCAGCGUUAUUUAAGAAAACCAGAGAAAAAUGAAAAUUAUAGAAAACUUAAAACGCUGUGAGAUAUUAGGCUAUAAAUAACUCUAAAAAAUUUUAGGACAAUCCAAUUCUUUCCACAGGUUAUAAUCCAAUAACAUUAGCUUCAUUUCAGUUAAGUUUUGGUAAGUGACAAUAUGAAUGGAGGAAUGGAGACCAACAGUUAUACAAUGACAAAUCAUCUAUGUGGUUUUUGACACCACAACAUUCAUUACAUCUGUAACACGGGGAGGGAUGAAUCAACAUCGUUAUUUGUUCAGUGAUAAAAUACUAAACCAUGUAUUCGCAGAGGAAAUAAACCAGUUUAUUCACUU